rnacentral:rRNA from 1 species
GACGAACGCUGGCGGCGUGCUUAACACAUGCAAGUCGAACGAUGAAGCGGUGCUUGCACCGUGGAUUAGUGGCGAACGGGUGAGUAAUACGUGAGUGACCUACCUUUGACUCUGGGAUAAGCCUGGGCAACUGGGUCUAAUACCGGAUACGACCAAUCUCUGCAUGGGGUGUUGGUGGAAAGCGUUAUGGAGUGGUUUUAGAUGGGCUCACGGCCUAUCAGCUUGUUGGUGAGGUAAUGGCUUACCAAGGCGACGACGGGUAGCCGGCCUGAGAGGGUGACCGGCCACACUGGGACUGAGACACGGCCCAGACUCCUACGGGAGGCAGCAGUGGGGAAUAUUGCACAAUGGGCGCAAGCCUGAUGCAGCGACGCCGCGUGAGGGAUGACGGCCUUCGGGUUGUAAACCUCUGUUAGCAUCGAAGAAGCGAAAGUGACGGUAGGUGCAGAGAAAGCGCCGGCUAACUACGUG